ACCGACUUUGCAGAUUAACAAGAAGCUGCUGGGUCUCCAUCUUCACAUAAAAAACUCCACCUUGCUGGAUGAGAGUCAUGCCAAGAGCAUCAACAUGCAUUGUAGCCCCAAUCUUUCUACUAUCAUAGAUACUUCUACGAUUCUUGCUGAACAAAACAAUGAAAUUAGAGAACCUGAACCAGAGGCUAAACCACAAACGGGCUCCUUUAAAUCAGACAACAUGGUCAGGAAAACCCCAAGAAAACUCAUCAGCAGAAGGCCUAUCUUGUGUAAGAAGAAGGUCUCGUUUAAAAGCCCCAUCGUCGCAGAGACCAAACGCGUACCAGGCUCUAGAUUAACACUUCACAGCACCAGCGAGCUGUUUCAAACGCCCAGCUCGUGUAUGCGGAUCAAGCAUUAUGCAGAGGCCUCUACAAGUAAAGAGAGAAGUUAUGACAAACAAACAGCGAUGCUUAAAUGUAGCCCAGAGAAACCAAAGUUCUUUGACUUCCCCAGUGACAGCGAUAGGGAUGCGUUCUUUCACAAAAUGCAUGAAAGGUUUGUCAAACUCAGAAGCAUUGUUUUAUUUCCUCCCAUAGCUGCUAAGCACAAAUAACCUUCUGUCCUGACAUGUAGAAAUGUGAGCUUUUCCCUAUAAUCAGCACUAAAAAGACAUAUGUGUAAUAUCCUGUAUAAAAGUGAGCUGUGUGUGCUUUGAGAAUAGGUUGUAGAGGCUCAAUUUGACAUGUUUAAUUCCUUUUUAUGUGUCGUAUUAACAGAGAAUAAUUUAAAAGAACACAGCAGUUAUUUAUUUGUAUUCCUGCUCAAUAUAAAGUUUGUGAACACAGUGAAGGUAACUGCUUAGUUCCUUUGGUUCUCUACCAAACUACUUUUUAUAUUACAUAUAUGAUUAAGUGUUUAUGUUUUGUCAGACUUCACCUAUUAGUAAAUGAAUUAAUUCACAUACUUGACUGAAUAUUUCUGUUUAAAACUGCACUUUCAAUCUCUCAUUUUAUUUUACUCUAAGCACUCAGACGCCCUUUGUUUAUUUCGUGUAAAUACUAUCAAAAACUGUUUCAUUCAAAAUGACCACUAGAUGUCAGUGCUGUAUUUUGAUUGCUGACUUUUCUUUUUGUUGUGCUUCCAGUGAGCGUUUUUCAGUGUUAAAAUUAUAAUACGUGUUGUAAUUGUGCUUGUUGUUUGUUUUUUUUAUCUGUAUUUCUAUUUGCUUUUUUGUAUAUGUGUCAUUGUCAUCGCUUAAAGGGGUAAUUUAAACAUAGCGUAACCCAAUAUGAUAUUAAAAGGUGGUAAAAAGUUUCAGGUGAUUGUUGUCAAUAUUUGGGUAGCAUUUGUGUGAAUUCGCACCCUUAUGCGAGUCAGAAAAUGAACAAAAUAAAUAAAAAUGCAGUAAAUGAACUACA